rnacentral:rRNA from 1 species
GUAGGUGGCAAGCGUUGUCCGGAAUUAUUGGGCGUAAAGCGCGCGCAGGCGGUCCUUUAAGUCUGAUGUGAAAGCCCACGGCUCAACCGUGGAGGGUCAUUGGAAACUGGGGGACUUGAGUACAGAAGAGGAAAGCGGAAUUCCAAGUGUAGCGGUGAAAUGCGUAGAGAUUUGGAGGAGCACCAGUGGCGAAGGCGGCUUUCUGGUCUGUAGCUGACGCUGAGGCGCGAAAGCGUGGGGAGCAAACAGGGAUUAGAUACCCUGGUAGUCCACGCCGUAAACGAUGAGUGCUAAGUGUUAGGGGGUUUCCGCCCCCUUAGUGCUGCAGCUAACGCAUUAAGCACUCCGCCUGGGGAUACGGCCGCAAGGCUG